AGAUUGAACGCUGGCGGCAUGCUUUACACAUGCAAGUCGAACGGUAACAGGCCGCAAGGUGCUGACGAGUGGCGAACGGGUGAGUAAUGCAUCGGAACGUGCCCAGUCGUGGGGGAUAACGCAGCGAAAGCUGUGCUAAUACCGCAUACGAUCUAUGGAUGAAAGCGGGGGACCGAAAGGCCUCGCGCGAUUGGAGCGGCCGAUGUCAGAUUAGCUAGUUGGUGGGGUAAAGGCCCACCAAGGCGACGAUCUGUAGCUGGUCUGAGAGGACGACCAGCCACACUGGAACUGAGACACGGUCCAGACUCCUACGGGAGCAGCAGUGGGAAUUUGGACAAGUGGGCGCAAGCCUGAUCCAGCAAUGCCGCGUGCGAGGAAGAAGG
rnacentral:rRNA from 1 species